UUUUUAAACUAUAAACAUCGUACAUUUAUGCUUUGGCUUGUGUUGUCAAAUCGGCAUUAAUGGCCAUUUAAUAUCCGGUUCAACAUGGACACGAUUGAUUUCAUUCAAGAUAGAGCACUUUGUCGACGGGAAAUCCAAUCAAGAAAACCCUGACCCUCAAGCAGCUACUGUAUUUGACCAGCUCACACCAGAACUGAAGCUAACAUCAUUGAGGUACAUCCUUCCAAGAAUCCAUCAAAACAACAUGCUGAACAACUUCAAGAACUCUCUUCAAAAG